AUUGAACGCUGGCGGCAGGCCUAACACAUGCAAGUCGAACGAGUGGCGGACGGGUGAGUAAUGUCUGGGAAACUGCCUGAUGGAUGGGGAUAACUACUGGAAACGGUAGCUAAUACCGCAUACCAUCGAUUGUGCCAAGAUGGGAUUAGCUAGUAGGUGGGGUAAAGGCUCACUUAGACGCCGAUCCCUAGCUGGUCUGAGAGGAGGACCAGCCACACGGGAACUGAGACACGGUCCAGACGCCUACGGGAGGCAGAAGUGGGGAAUAUUGCACAAUGGGCGAAAGCCUGAUGCAGCCAUGCCGCGGGUAUGAAGAAGGCCUUCGGGUUGUAAAGUACUUUCAGCGGGGAGGCGUUACCCGCAGAAGAAGCACCGGCUAACUCCGUGCCAGCAGCCGCGGUAAUAC
rnacentral:rRNA from 1 species